rnacentral:sRNA from 2 species
UCACAUUAUUUUCAGCACACUGCUUUUUAAGCUUGCACUCUUUUUCUUUGACAAGCACCUUGCACACUUUUUUUUGAGACGCAUUCUUUUUCAAUAUACCUUCUGUUUUGAGCAACUCUUCUUUCAUGGAUAAUUAAAGAUGUAGUGAUACUAAUGAUCUAUUCUAACUAGUUAAUAUCUAUUGAUAUACUAAUUAGCAGCGGCAUAUGUAUUCUUAGGCUUUUGAUGACAUAGUUAUUUUGUAUGUAAUAGAGGUGCUAGAAAGCUAUUAUAGAAUAUGUUUCUUAGUUGGCUGUGAUAUAAUCCCUCAUUAUAAGAGCUAUGUGUGGAAAGUGGCUACUUGAAUCAGGUUCGCUAAAUUGUAGAGUGCUGGUUUUCUUCAUGGAUGAGAAGGUAGACAGACACCUUUGCCGCGAC